GAUGAACGCUGGCGGCGUGCCUAAUACAUGCAAGUCGAGCGAACAGACGAGGAGCUUGCUCCUCUGACGUUAGCGGCGGACGGGCGAGUAACACGUGGAUAACCUACCUAUAAGACUGGGAUAACUUCGGGAAACCGGAGCUAAUACCGGAUAAUAUAUUGAACCGCAUGGUUCAAUAGUGAAUGACGGCUUUGCUGUCACUUAUAGAUGGAUCCGCGCCGCAUUAGCUAGUUGGUAAGGUAACGGCUUACCAAGGCAACGAUGCGUAGCCGACCUGAGAGGGUGAUCGGCCACACUGGAACUGAGACACGGUCCAGACUCCUACGGGAGGCAGCAGUAGGGAAUCUUCCGCAAUGGGCGAAAGCCUGACGGAGCAACGCCGCGUGAGUGAUGAAGGUCUUCGGAUCGUAAAACUCUGUUAUUAGGGAAGAACAAAUGUAUAAGUAACUAUGCACGUCUUGACGGUACCUAAUCAGAAAGCCACGGCUAACUACGUG
rnacentral:rRNA from 1 species